CCUACGGGAGACAGCAGUGGGGAAUCUUCCACAAUGGGCGGAACUCUGCUGCAGCGACGCCGCGUGAGUGAAGAAGUAUCUCGGUACGUAACGCUCUAUUAGUAGGGAAGAACAUGACCGUACCUAACUAGAAGCCCCGGCUAACUACGUGCCAGCAGCCGCGGGGAUACGUAGGGGGCAAGCGUUAUCCGGAUUUACUGGUUGUAAAGGGAGCGUAGACGGGUCUGCAAGUCCGGAGUGAAAGCCCCAGGCUUAACCGUGGUACUGCUCUGGAAACUGUGGGGCUUGAGUGCGGUAGGGGCAGGCGGAAUUCCAAGUGUAGCGGUGAAAUGCGUAGAUAUUAGGAGGAACACCAGCGGCGAAGGCGGCCUGCUGGACCGUAACUGACGUUGAGGCUCGAAAGCGUGGGGAGCAAACAGGAUUAGAUACCCGUGUAGUC
rnacentral:rRNA from 1 species